rnacentral:rRNA from 1 species
CCAGACUCCUACGGGAGGCAGCAGUGAGGAAUAUUGGUCAAUGGGCGAGAGCCUGAACCAGCCAAGUCGCGUGAAGGACGACGGUUCUAUGGAUUGUAAACUUCUUUUGUAGAGGAAUAACGGCAGCUACGUGUAGCUGAGAUGCAUGUACUCUACGAAUAAGUAUCGGCUAACUCCGUGCCAGCAGCCGCGGUAAUACGGAGGAUACGAGCGUUAUCCGGAAUUAUUGGGUUUAAAGGGUGCGUAGGUGGCGUAUUAAGUCAGUGGUGAAAAGCUGCAGCUCAACUGUAGUCUUGCCGUUGAAACUGAUAUGCUAGAGAGGAGACGAGGUAUGCGGAAUGUGUGGUGUAGCGGUGAAAUGCAUAGAUAUCACACAGAACGCCGAUUGCGAAGGCAGCGUACCAGGCUCCGUCUGACACUGAAGCACGAAAGCGUGGGGAUCAAACAGGAUUAGAUACCCUGGUAGUCCACGCAGUAAACGAUGAAUACUAGAUUUUUGCGAUAUAGUGUAAGAGUCUAAGCGAAAGCGAUAAGUAUUCCACCUGGGGAGUACGCCGGCAACGGUGAAACUCAAAGGAAUUGACGGGGGCCCGCACAAG